rnacentral:lncRNA from 1 species
CGGCGCAAUGUCCUCCACCCUGGGAGCUACUCAGGAGAGAAGCUGUGCACUCCAAUUCUGCCCAGACAGGCAGUGCCUGAGCAGGCCAGUCCAGGCCUCUCCUUCCAGCUCUCCCUCCAUCCCAGCUUUUUGGAGAGAAAGCAAACAGACCCUUGACCAGAUGGAGCCUUCCUCGCUAAUAAACCUAGCCUAAGACGUGUUCAAGAAGAAGUAGAAAAUUACCUUUCAGGAAGCCAACAUGAGGUAAGGGGAGCGGGGCACCAAAGUACCAGAGCUGGAGCCUCACGCAGCAGGUGCUGGCUGGAGCCCUGCUCAGCAACCCCAUCCUGCAGACUCUGCUGGCUUCCCACGUGCAGGUCUCAGAGAGCCGCCCCCAGCCCGCAGCAGCGCUAUAGGCGGCUCAUGCCUGGAAGUGCCAGCACACGGUCCCCUGGCUGUGUGAGGAGCCACCACGCAGGGACAACAGAGGCAAGGAAGAAGAUCCAGUUGGAAGCACUGGGGCAGCAUCCAAUGCCCUGCCUCCCCUUGUGCACUUGGCUGGCAAAGCUGGAGCCCACAGCAGUGCCCCCAGGCCUGUUGCUCUUGAGGGAACAUCUGAGUGUACCAUGCCCCACCUUGCCUCUGAAGCCUGCAGUCAAGAAAACAUUUCCUCUUCCUGCCCCAUUCCAACAAUGUUAUG